rnacentral:rRNA from 1 species
AAGGUGGGGAUGACGUCAAGUCCUCAUGGCCUUUAUGACCAGGGCUACACACGUACUACAAUGGCCGGUACAAAGGGCAGCCACUUAGCGAUAAGGAGCCAAUCCCGUAAAGCCGGUCUCAGUCCGGAUUGGAGUCUGCAACUCGACUCCAUGAAGUUGGAAUCGCUAGUAAUCGCAGAUCAGCACGCUGCGGUGAAUACGUUCCCGGGUCUU